rnacentral:lncRNA from 10 species
CCAUGUGACUUUCUCUUAGUAUUGAAUAUUUUUGUUGCAUUAGUUUUAACUUGAUGUUGGAAUGUUAUUCCUGUAGCAGAAAAUACUACACAGCUGUCAACUGUGUUCCUUAGUGCCUAGCCAGAAAAAUAUUUGGAGGCUAUUUCAAAAGUCCUUCUUCAUUUAUGUGGCUUUGCUGAUCAACUUUUCAAUCAACUACUGAAAUUAUAGUUUCCAGUGAAGAGAGAGAGAGGGGGUAAAGUGGUGGGAAGUAACCCAUCUAGAUGUGCAAUAAUAUCAGAAAGAAUUUUCGAAGAAUUUAUUUGGAUUCUAGAAGAUAAAAGGAACUAUCUCAUUCUCAUUCAAAAAGAUUCUCAGAACAGUGAAGACUUUUAAAAUACAUGUGUUUCUCUCUCCCCCCCACACACAAAAAAACGUUAAAAAAAAAAAUCAUAAUCAGUUGGUGAUAAGGCAACCGGAGAAAAAUAAAGCAGGCACUGAGUCUCCUUAGCGCUAAAUUUCUGGCUGCCUGAAAUGCUGUCAACAAUUGCUGGAUGGAGUUUCUUCUGCCUCCACCCCCUGCAUUUUGCCAAGGUCACCUAUCACACCUUUACCUAAUUAUCUAGAGCAAAUAUAGUUCACAUGUAGAUAUAGUAAUGCAUUUAAUCCCUAUAACAAGCCCAUGAGGUAGAUAUUAUUAUGUCAAUGUCACUUUUUUUUUUUUAACAUACACAGAAACUGAGAUACAGAAAUUAAGGACAUUUCUUAAGGCAUCACAGAUAGAAAGUGGCUGAACUGGAAUUUCAAGCCCAAAUGCCUGUCUCCAGGGUUCCUGCACUUUACCACUUCAAGUCUGUCCACACUCCCGCUGAGUCAUCUCACAGCCACUCCUCCAACUGACCUCCUCUGCUUCAAAAUGUUGAGGUAUGUUCAGUCUUCCCUAUAUUUAGAAGUUGUCAUUCCUCUUUUCCAAGCCUCUUUUCCUGUGCCUUUACCCUACUUUGUACCUCCAAUUAUAUACCCUUCUUUUACGAGGCACUGUCGUAAAAAUUAAUAUGCCACGUUUUUGCCCUGCUUAGUACAUGAACCCUUGCUUUAGUUGUCCUGAGGGAUCUGUAAACCUGUAGUCCCAGCUAUCUGGGAGGCUGAGAUGGGAGGAUCGCUUAAGG